GAAAUUUUGAUGAAAGGGCUGAUGGACAUAAUGGUGGUAUAAGUAUGGAGGCUAAAGUCUUCACCGUGCUCACUUGUAAAGGCAGGGAACCUUGUGGCCGAGGAAUCAAGAAAUCUGGAGGAACAGCAGAAGGUACAUUCCCUCCAAGUACAAGGGCGGUUCGAGUACGGUUGACUUUUAGAACAGGUUCUUCAGAAGGUUCCAUACCUACAACCUGGGAUGCUUACUAAUAAGAGUGAGUGUCAAGG
rnacentral:misc_RNA from 1 species